rnacentral:rRNA from 1 species
CACGUAGGGCGCAAGCGUUGUCCGGAAUUAUUGGGCGUAAAGAGCUCGUAGGCGGUCUGUUACGUCUGCUGUGAAAACCCAGGGCUUAACCCUGGGCUUGCAGUGGAUACGGGCAGACUAGAGGCAGGUAGGGGAGAAUGGAAUUCCCGGUGUAGCGGUGAAAUGCGCAGAUAUCGGGAGGAACACCGGUGGCGAAGGCGGUUCUCUGGGCCUGACCUGACGCUGAGGAGCGAAAGCGUGGGGAGCGAACGGG